rnacentral:rRNA from 1 species
AUUGAACGCUGGCGGCAUGCCUUACACAUGCAAGUCGAACGGCAGCACGGGUGCUUGCCCCUGGUGGCGAGUGGCGAACGGGUGAGUAAUACAUCGGAACAUGUCCUGUAGUGGGGGAUAGCCCGGCGAAAGCCGGAUUAAUACCGCAUACGAUCUACGGAUGAAAGCGGGGGACCUUCGGGCCUCGCGCUAUAGGGUUGGCCGAUAGCUGAUUAGCUAGUUGGUGGGGUAAAGGCCUACCAAGGCGACGAUCAAUAGCUGGUCUGAGAGGACGACCAGCCACACUGGGACUGAGACACGGCCCAGACUCCUACGGGAGGCAGCAGUGGGGAAUUUUGGACAAUGGGCGAAAGCCUGAUCCAGCAAUGCCGCGUGUGUGAAGAAGGCCUUCGGGUUGUAAAGCACUUUUGUCCGGAAAGAAAUCCUUGGCUCUAAUACAGUCGGGGGAUGACGGUACCGGAAGAAUAAGCACCGGCUAACUACGUG